rnacentral:misc_RNA from 1 species
GAUGAAGAACGCAGCGAAAUGCGAUAAGUAAUGUGAAUUGCAGAAUUCAGUGAAUCAUCGAAUCUUUGAACGCACCUUGCGCCCUUUGGCCAUUCCGAAGGGCAUGCCUGUUUGAGUAUCAUGAACACCUCAACUCUUCAUGGUUUUCCAUGAUGAGCUUGGACUUUGGGGGUCUUGCUGGCCUGUGGGUCGGCUCCUCUCAAAUGAAUCAGCUUGCCGGUUUUUGGUGGGCAUCACAGGUGUGAUAACUAUCUACGCUUGUGGUUUUCCACCAGGGUAACCUUCAGCAGUGGAGGUUCACUGGAGCUUACAAAUGUCUCUCCUCUGUGAGGACAGCCCUUUGAAUGUUUGAUCUCAAAUCAGGUAGGACUACCCGCUGAACUUAAGCAUAUCAAUAAGCGGAGGA